GUUGUUGGAAAAAUUGCAGAAAAUCUGCAAUAUAAUGCAGAUUUUCAGCAACAUUUCCAAAACUUCAAACACUCUUAACUCUCUCAUCUCUCACCGAUUUGGGCGAUUCAAAAGGCAAAGUUGUGAGAUUUUUCGAGGGCAAUGCGUUGGUGAGCUCGGAUAGUGGUUUGGGGUUCCCGUUUGAGGUAAUUUCGCAAUAAACCUGACUGCAGUGCCUUUUUCGAGUCAUUUGUUUUUUGGUAUUUAUUGUUUUGGUCAUAUCUCACUCAUUUUAGCUCGGUUUUGGGUGAUUCGAAGUCCCACAUGUUGAGGAUUGUCAUGACUUCGUUGUAGAGUGUUCAAGGGGUGCUGGGCACCUUUCGAUUCUCGUUUAAUUCUGAGUUUUGACUGCUGCUUUAGUGUUUCUUUUAGUUAUUAAAGUGUGGUUUCUUACUUGUUGAUUUUUGCUAUGUUUUGAGCCUCGGAUUGUGUUCCAUUUUGGAACACAAGUUUGGAGUGCUGUUUGUGGUCACUUGACGGAGUCAAAUUUGGACAGUUCGGUGCGGGUCCCACGAUUCUCGUUUUGACUCCAAAAUUGACCCAUCUCCGUUUGUUGUGAUUUUGGUGUUUAAAUGACAGUAGUAACGUUGUAACUCUAUUUUUGAUAGCGGGGCAACGUUUUGAGACUGUUCGAAAAGGGAAAGCUCCGGUAAAGUGAUUGGAGAGCGCACAGUUGGCCUUAAGGUAGGCUACUACUUCCUUUCUUUUAGAUUGAGCUUAAUUGUGUAAAAACAUGGCGAUUGGAGUAAAUUGGGGGUGGGUACCAGUUUACUACCUUAGUUUGAUUAGAUAACUGAUGUUUGGAUCGAUUGGCCACAUUUCGGGUAUAGUAUUAUGUUAACCGAUUUAGUAGAGUUGCAUACUUAUGUGCUAAAUGCUAUUGUAUGCUUGUAUGUUAUGUAUUUCAUGCCUUGUUCAUCCUUAACCGUAAGCAUAAUUUCCUUAGUCUAGGUUAGGCUAGCAUUGCCUUAGACUUAUGACCCGUGUGGGCUGGAUAGCCUUGACUUGCUGCCGACGUCGUUCGGAUGACUUAGCUCCUUGUAGACUGGAAUAGCAGACUUGAGUCUGAUAGUUUGAGCCUUAGAUUAGGCGUUAUCGCUACUUGCUGCACUUAUGUAUCUUCUCCCUCUUAUUCUGCGGUUUCGACGCAUUCUCGAAGAUUUGGUGCAUCCCUCGAGGCGUGAGAUUGAGAUAGUAUAGGAUUUGAGCCUUUUAUGUGAGAUCUUAGAGUGGACGGCGUUCCACGGUGGUUGUUGUUGGAUUGAAUCCUAUUGGAGAUACCAUCACCCCCGGGGUCGUUCUUUCUAGCCUAGGCUGGGAACGUAUCGUUGGCUGGGUAGACUCGGUGAUAUCGGCGAUCGCCCCCGGGCCUCUCUUUCUAGCUGGGCUGGGAGUGUGCUGCUGGAUGGGUGUCCCCGGGUCGCUCUUUCUAGCUGGGCUGGGAGCAUGACUGCAUGGUAGGACGACUCGCGAUAUCUACCUCACUCACGGGUCCCUCUUUCUAGCUGGGCUGGGAGUGUACUGCUGGCUGGGUGGAGUCUGAUGGAUUAUCUUAGUUACUUUGGGUUGGGAGCCCGGUUUUCUUCUUUCUCAGUAGACUUAGCCUUGCUGUGUACCUGUCGGGCUUAUGGGGGUCCGUUCAGGUUUUAUUUAAACUUGCGCACGAGUGUACCUUCUGGGCUUAUGGGGUCCAGUUAGGUUUAGUUUAGUUGUACUUAGUUUGUUUCUGGUAUGCUCGUGUGCUUUCUUUUCUUAUCCGCUUUGACCUCUCUGUGUCUAGAUUCUAUCCUUUCUUAUUGUUUUUACCCUUUUUGCUCAGUCGGCCUAUGAUGCCUACUGAGUACCUGUUGUGUUGGUACUCAUGCUACGCUCUGCAUCUAUUUCGUGAUGCAGGUCCCAGUACCAGUUACCAGCGGUGAUUAGUUCCAGCCUUCUUUUGCAGUUGUGAUUCGGAGACGAGGGUGAGCACUUAGUGUUUUGGGGUUUGUUCUGUCUCCUUGUUUUGUUUUAGCUAGUCUUGUUGCCUUUGAGACACGCUCUGUUGUGGUCCACUUUUGGGACUUGUACUCUUUAUUAGAUAGCUCUGUACUAGUGACUUCCAGGUUCUGAGAGGGAUUUCUGUAUAUAUUUAUUUUGGGUUGCUUCCGCCUUGUUAUCCUUGUUUAGAUUAUUGUUUUCGCUAGUUUCUGCCCUUUUGCUCAUUGCUUGAUGUUCUUGGUUACGGGUUGGCUUACCUACUGGUAGGGUAUAGUAGGUGCCAUCAUGACUCGAGAAAUCGGGUCGUGACAAGUUGGUAUCAGAGCCCCAGAUUCAUCGGUCUCACUUGUACAGAGCUAACGUCUCAUAGAGUCCUGCGGAUCGGUGCAAAGACGUCCGUCACUUGUCUUCGGGAGGCUACAUGAUGUUUUUAGGAAGAUUUCCUCUUUUGUUUUACUUUCGUGCAGCAUGUGUCUUAUUGGUUCCUUAAUAUUUCACUUGUUUCACUCUUUCGCAGGAUUGCUCGCUCGCGAGGUGGCGCGGCCGAGGGUGAUGCACCCAGGCCUGCAGACAGAGCCCCAGCUUGGGGUAGACGCCGACCCCGAGGUUGAGAGAGGGCCGCAACAUCAGUCCAGUUGAGAGAUGAGGAUCCAGAGCCAGUAGCAGACCCUUCAGCAUUUCGUAUACCAGAUCAGCCAGUGGGGCCGAGGCCAGCCCAGCCGCCACCCGGACUAGUUUUGACUCCAGAUCUCCAGGCAGCUAUUUCUCAGCUCCUAGGUGUGCUUGGGGGGAUGCAGCAGCCACCCGCCCCAGCUACACCAGCACUAGUAUCGCAGGAUCAGCCUGCAGUGAGGGCUCCUUAGGUCCAGGUACCACCUGAGGGAGUACAUCUCUUGGCAGCGGACAGACCUAUGCCGCUUGAGGACCAGAAGAUGCUUGGUGUGUUUCUCAGGUUGACACCAUCGAGGUUUUCUGGGGCUGUGGGUGAGGAUGCCCACGAGUUUCUUACUACUUGCCGUGAGAGGCUUCGCACUUUGGGCUUUGUGGAGUCUAGAGGGGCCGACUUCAUUGCUUACCAGCUAGAUGGGCCAGCCAGGCAGUGGUGGCGCACAUUCAUUCAGAUCAGGCCAGUUGGAUCUCCACCAGUAUCAUGGGAUGAGUUUUCUGAGGCCUUCUUGGCCAAGUUUAAUCCUCGUAGCGUCAGAGACUGCCUUAGGGAUCAGUUCUGCAGGUUGGAGCAUGGCUCCAUGUCGGUGGCGGAGUACGAGACUAGGUUCCAUGAACUCUCCCGUCAUGCCGAGAUGAUAUUACCUACAGAGGAGGAGAGAGUUAGGUGCUUUGUUCGUGGGUUGAGAUGACAGCUUCGGCUUGAGAGCCAGUCCUUAGUUUCUGCCGGUCGAUUUUUUUUGACGUAGUUGACCAUGCUAGUACUAUGGAGCAUCUUCGUCGCGAGGCCCAAGGGGGCAGCGAGAAUAGGGCUAGGCAUGAGGACAGCUACAGUGACGCCCGCCCCAGGUCUAGAGAUUAUCAUGACAGGGCCGGACGACGGUUUCGACAGGGUCAGUCUAGCAGACCUACACAGGCCUCUCUUCAGGCAUCAAAUGGUGGUCGGAGUGAGGCUAGUUCGAGUCAGGGCUGCGAGGUGUUUCAGUCGGGUUUUUCAGGCCAUGGUAGUCGUUCUUCUGGGAGUCGCUCUCGACAGGGUUGCUAUGAGUGUGGUGAGAUGGGUCAUUGGGCCAGGGACUGCCCUCAGCAUAGUCGGAUUGCUCCCGCUCCUCAUGCAGCUCCCCCAGCUUUACCAGCACCUCCAGUUAGAGGCCGUGGUCAGGGUCAGGACCGUAGAGGUGGUCAGCAGGGUAUACGGGGUGGUCCUCGAGGAGGCAGGACAUGUGGUAGGUUUGGUGAGCAGGGCAGAGGCAGAGGCUGAGGCAUCAGACGAUGUGAUCACAGGUACUAUUCUUUUAUGCCAGCAGCCCGCCUUGGCUUUAUUUGAUCCAGGCUCCACUUUUUCGUACGUUUCUGUUUACUAUGCCUCUCGAUUGAGUAUGAUGUCUAAGCCUUUGGUAGUGCCGUUGCGUGUGUCGACCCCCGUGAGUGAGUCUUUAGUAGUGGAUCAGGUAUUUCGAUCUUGCUUAGUUACUAUCCAAGGAUGUGAUAACCGGGCUGACCUUAUAUUGCUUAUUGCUCGUGACUUCUUAGAUGUGUUUCCUACUGACCUACCUGGCCUACCCCCAGAGCGUGAUAUUGAUUUUCCGAUUGAGCUUGAGCCAGGUACUCGGCCUAUUUCUAUUCCGCCAUAUCGGAUGGCUCCUGCAGAGCUCAAGGAGCUCAGUGUUCAGCUUCAGGAUCUCUUGGGUAAAGGAUUCAUUCGGCCUAGUGUAUCGCCUUGGGGUGCCCCAGUCCUCUUCGUGAAGAAGAAGGACGGUACUAUGCGAUUGUGUAUUGACUACAGGCAGCUGAAUAAGGUGACGGUGAAGAACCGUUACCCCAUGCCUCGUAUUGAUGAUUUGUUUGAUCAGCUUCAGGGUGCCGCCGUGUUUUCUAAGAUUGAUUUGAGGUCCGGGUACCAUCAGCUGAGUAUUAGGGCAGCGGACAUCCCUAAGACGGCAUUUAGGACCCAUUAUGGCCAUUAUGAGUUCUUGGUGGUGUCGUUUGGGUUGAGUAAUGCCCCUGCUGCCUUCAUGGACUUGAUGACACGUGUGGUCAGGCCAUACCUUAAUUUAUUUGUCAUUGUCUUCAUUGAUGACAUACGGGUAUACUCGCGGAGCCGGAGUGAGCAUGAGCAGCAUUUGAGGAUAGUGCUCCAGACUUUGAGAGAUCAGCGGCUUUAUGCCUAGUUCUCAAAGUGCGAGUUUUGGCUUGAGUCUGUAGCCUUCUUGGGGCACGUGGUGUCCAAGGAGGGUAUUAGGGUUGAUCUGGCGAAGAUUGAGGCUAUUCGUGAUUGGCACAGGCCCACUUCUGUUACUGAGGUUCGUAGCUUCGUCGGGUUAGCGAGUUACUACAGACGCUUUGUUGAGGGCUUUUCUACUAUUGCAGUCCCGUUGACUCGAUUGACUCGUGUUGAUGUUCCCUUUGUUUGGUCAGAGGAGUGUGAGGCGAGCUUUUUGAGGCUCAAGGAGUUAUUGACCACCGCUCCUAUAUUGACUCUUCCAGUUGAGGGCGAGGGCUUUACAGUUUAUUGUGACGCAUUCGGCGUUGGUUUGGGUUGUGUAUUGAUGCAGCAGGGCCGGGUUAUUGCUUAUGCGUCGAGGCAGCUUAAGAUCCAUGAGCGCAACUACCCCACUCAUGACUUGGAGUUGGCGGCGGUAGUUUUCGCGCUUAAGAUUUGGAGGCACUACUUGUAUGGAGUUCGAUGUGAGAUCUAUACCGAUCACAGGAGUCUUCAGUACAUCAUGAGCCAGAGGGACCUUAAUUCGAGGCAGCGUCGUUGGAUUGAGCUCCUGAAGGACUACGACCUCUCUAUUCUCUAUCAUCCGGGCAAGGCGAAUGUGGUAGCGGACGCCUUGAGACGGAAGGCAGUGAGUAUGGGUAGUCUAGCCUUCUUAUCUGUUGAGGAGCGACCCUUAGCUUUGGACAUUCAGUCCUUAGCUAAUAGCAUGGUUCGGUUGGAUAUCUCAUAUUCUAGACGUGUCUUGGCCCAUAUGGGAGUUCAGUCUUCCUUCCUUGAUAGGAUUCGUGGUUAUCAGUUUGAGGAUGAGGCCUUGGUGGCCCUUAGAGAUCGAGUGUUAGCGGGUGAUGGUGGUCAGGCUACCUUAGAUCCUGAUGGAGUGUUGAGAUUCGCCGGCCGCAUCUGUGUUCUGAGAGUUGGGGAUUUGAUACGGUUGAUACUUUCUGAGGGCCAUGAGUCUAGAUACUCUAUCCAUCCGGGCACAACGAAGAUGUAUCGUGAUUUGAGGCAGCAUUACUGGUGGAGUGGCAUGAGGAGAGAUAUUGCUGACUUUGAUUCCCGUUGCUUGUGCUGCCAGCAGGUAAAGGCCGAGCAUUUGAGGCCUGGUGGUGUGUUUCAGAGAUUACCCAUUCCGGAGUGGAAGUGGGAGCGUAUCACUAUGGACUUCAUUGUGGGGUUGCCUCAGACUCCUAGAGGUGUUGACAGCAUUUGGGUCAUCGUUGAUCGAUUGACCAAGUCAGCACAUUUCCUUCUUGUUCAGUGUUCAUUUAGCGCCGAGAGGUUGGCUCAUAUCUACAUUCGGGAGGUGGUUCGACUUCAUGGGGUGCCAGUUUCUAUUAUAUCAGAUCGCGGUUCUCAGUUCACGUCCAACUUUUGGAGGACCUUUCAGGAUGAGUUGGGCACUGGGGUUGACCUUAGCACAACUUUCCACCCGUAGAUGGAUGACCAGUCGGAGCGUACUAUUCAGGUCCUUGAGGAUAUGUUGCGGGCAUGUGUUAUGGAUUUUGGAGGUCAGUGGGACCAGUUCUUACCUUUGGCGGAGUUUGCGUACAACAACAGCUACCACUCUAGUAUUCAGAUGGCCCCGUUUGAGGCCUUAUAUGGUAGGCGUUGUCGCUCUCCAGUUGGUUGGUUUGAGUCUACAGAGCCUAGGCUACGUGGUACAGAUUUGCUUCAAGAGGCCCUGGAUNNNNNNNNNNNNNNNNNNNNNNNNGGGUCAUCGUGGAUCGAUUGACCAAGUCAGCACACUUCCUUCCUGUUCAUACUACCUUCAGUGCUGAGAGGUUGGCUCGUAUUUAUAUUCGGGAGGUAGUUCGUCUUCAUGGUGUGCCUGUUUCUAUCAUUUCAGAUCGGGGUUCACAGUUCACUUCCAGCUUUUGGAGUGCUUUUCAGGAGGAGUUGGGAACCUGUGUCCACCUUAGCACAGCAUUUCACCCCCAGACGGAUGGUCAGUCAGAGCGUACUAUUCAGGUCGUUGAGGAUAUGUUGCGGGCCUGUGUUAUGGAUUUUGGAGGUCAGUGGGACCAGUUCUUGCCUUUGGCGGAGUUUGCGUACAACAACAGCUACCACUCUAGUAUUCAGAUGGCCCCGUUUGAGGCCUUAUAUGGUAGGCGUUGUUGCUCUCCAGUUGGUUGGUUUGAGUCUACAGAGCCUAGGCCGCGUGGUUCAGAUUUGCUUCAGGAGAUCCUGGAUCAGGUGAGGGUGAUUCAGGAUAGGCUCAGGACGGCUCAGAGUAGGCACCAGAGUUAUGCGGAUCAGAGGCGUCGACCUUUGAGAUUCUCUGUUGGUGACCGGGUAUUCCUCCGUGUGUCGCCCAUGAAGGGCGUGAUGAGGUUUGGGAGGCGGGGCAAGCUUAGCCCCAGGUACAUUGGGCCUUUUGAGAUACUCCGGACAGUUGGGGGGGUUGCUUAUGAGUUGGCCCUACCUCCAGCAUUUUCAGCCAUCCACCCGGUUUUCCAUGUCUCGAUGUUGCUGCGAUAUGUUCCUGAUGAGUCCCAUGUGCUCCAGUAUGAUGCAGUCGAGUUGGAUGAUCGUUUGACAUUUAGAGAGGAGCCAGUUUCCAUUCUAGCCAGUAUUGUGAGGAGAUUGCGCUCGAGAGCCAUUCCUGUUGUUAAGGUCCGUUGGAGGCAUCGUCCAGUCGAGGAGGCUACCUGGGAGACCGAGCAGGAGAUGCGAGAGCAGUUUCCCACCUUGUUUGAGCCUUCAGGUACUUCUUAACCCUUACUUUUGCGGUCGAAAGUAGUGGAUAUUGUAAUGACCCUCUUGGUCAUUUCUGUGUCUUGCCUUCUGUGUGUCGUUUAGAGCGUUCUUGUAGCGACCCCAAGCCAUUUAUGACUAGCUGGGAUUGACGGUUCGGUCACCUGGUCGUUCGUUUGGUCUUGGUGUGAGUUUUUGUGUUUUGGAGCUUAUGAACCUUGAACGAUCAUUUUCGAUCAAAAUUUCAAGAAGAUGACAUCGGAAUCCAAUUCUGACGAUUCCAUCAGCUCCGGAAGGGUCAUUUUAGGCUAGUAGAAUGGUCGACAUGACUCUCGAGAUUUUCAGUUUGAGUCGGUGCAAUUAGGCGUUUUAAUCUUUGAAUUUUGGCUUAAGUUUGACUUUGGUCAACAUUCUGAGUAAACGCGCUCGGAUGAGAAUUCCGUCAGCGUGGUUAGCUCCAAAAUGUCGAGUUUGGUCUACAAUGACCCUUCUUUUGUGUCCCGAGGUUUUCGAUAUCUUUCCGAGCCCUUUUGUGGGUUUUGACUUAAAAUGACUUUUGGAAGUGGGACCCACUUUUUAUCGAAAUGACCUCUGAUGGAAAUUUCGAAUGCGCCGUUGAGUCUGGAAUAUCGAAUUUGGUGUGGUUGCAUGUCUCGUUUGCGUGCACGGGGUUCCGAACGAGAUCGGAACACCCCAUCGGAAUUUUAAGUUUUGGAAAUGUUGCAGAUUUUCUGCAAUAAAUUGCAGAAAACCAGCCACAUUUCCCAAACUUCAAACCCUCAUCUCUCUCUCAUCUCUCAACCGAUUUGGGCGAUUCAAAAGGCAAAGUUGUGAGAUUUUUCGACGACAACGCGUUGGUGAGCUCGGAUAGUGGUUUGGGGUUCCCGUUUGAGGUAAUUUCGCGAAAAACCUGACUGCUGUACCUUUUUCGAGUCCUUGUUUUUGGAAUUUUUGUUUUGGUCAUAUCUCACUCAUUUUGGAUAGUGGUUUGGGGUUCCCAUUUGAGGUAAUUUCACAAUUAAACCUGACUGCAGUGCCUUUUUCGAGCAUUUGUUUUUGGUAUUAUUGUUUUGAUCAUAUCUCACUCAUUUUAGCUCGAUUUUGGGUGAUUCGAAGUCCCACAUGUUGAGGAUUGUCAUGACUUCGUUGUAGAGUGUUCAAGGAGUGCUGGGCACCUUUCGAUUCUCAUUUAUUCUGAGUUUUGACUGCUGCUGUAGGGUUUCUUUUAGUUAUUAAAGUGUGGUUUCUUGCUUGUUGGUUUUUGCUAUGUUUUGAGCCUCGGAUUGUGUUCCAUUUUGGAACACAAGUUUGGAGUGCUAUUUGGGGUCACUUGACGGAGUGAAAUUCGGACAGUUCGGUGUGGGUCCCACGAUUCCCGUUUUGACUCCAAAAUUGACCCAUCUCCGUUUGUUGUGAUUUUGGUGUCUAAAUGACCGUAGUAACGUUGUAAAUCUAUUUUUGAUAGCGGGGCAGCGUUUCGAGACUGUUCGAAAAGGGAAAGCUCCGGUAAAGUGAUUGGAGAGCGCAGAGUUGGCCUUAAG
rnacentral:lncRNA from 1 species